rnacentral:rRNA from 1 species
UACGUAGGGGGCAAGCGUUACCCGGAUUCACUGGGCGUAAAGCGGGUGUAGGCGGCUCGGUAAGUCGGGUGUGAAAUCCCACGGCUCAACCGUGGAAUUGCGCCCUAAACUGCUGAGCUUGGGGCCGGUAGAGGGAGACGGAACUGCCGGUGUAGGGGUGAAAUCCGUAGAUAUCGGCAGGAACGCCGGUGGGGAAGCCGGUCUCCUGGGCCACGCCAGACGCUGAGGCACGAAAGCUAGGGGAGCAAACCGG